UCUCCUCUCUCUUGUUGGUUCCUUCUUUGUUCUAGGCCCAGUCAGUUCUUUUUGUUCUUUCUCUCUUUCCGAUUUAAACAUGAGCAUAGGCAGAUACUGUACAUAUGUGGCUCACUAGUUGGAGAUUUUUCUGGCUGUGAUUAGGGAGGAUUAUUGCACAAUUACCCAAGCCAGUGCCUUGUAUUUAGGUGUAUCCUUCCUCUGUUAAUCAAAUUAGGUGCCUACAAGUCUGGUGCCAUGUGUCAAAUCCUCCCUCCAAAUUGGAUGGCAACUCUUUCUGCUACACAUAGAUAUGGUUUUUUAAACAGUUCUGCACUAUGUACAUAUGUGUUGUCCUGUUUAGGUUUGAGAUGGGGGAUGUUCGUCAGUUUUCGUUUGUAUGUGCUGCUCAUCUUUGUGACACUGUAGGUUCUUUCUUAUCUUGAAAGACUAGGCAGUUUUUUUCUUUGCGCCAAUGAAAAUAAGUAUGAGCUGCCCUCUCUACCCCCCAAAUCUACAUGUACAUCCACUGAUUGACUAAAACUUCUUUGGAUGUUCAGUUUCCUCUGUAUGAUUCAUUAAAUCACUUUUUGAUUCAAGCAAACUCAAGUUAUUACUUUCUAAAACCGAAGCAAAGAGUCCAACUUGAAGCAGCGAGUGAUAAAUUUCCAACACAAAAUACUACUUAUAUACUACUCCCUCCCUCCCAUAAUAUAAGAAGUAGUGAGUAGUUGAAGAGACCACAUUAUACGUUACUGGUGAUGUCAAGUUAAUUUGUUUUGAAGAGACCAUCAGGAAAAGAAUCUCUUGCAAGUGUUUGUGGAUCCAUGAUUCAUGGGCUUUCCAACUACUCAGUAGCUUGAUUCCUCGAGCUACAGGUUUUUUUGUUAGUAUAAACUAGCUAGCUGUUGGGCUUCCUUGGCAUGCAUCUCGUGUUUUACAUGAAUGAAGAAAACGGAAAUGUAAGACUUGUUGCUUUUUCUUAGUAUAUAUAUGUCGUUCAAAGGAUUUCCCACAAAUUUGACCAAGUUGAUGAUCCGUUUCAUUCUAAUUCAUACUCUGUCGCAUGGUACAUGUGGUAGUCGUCCUAGAUGCAUGCCAUAUCUAGCUUCAACUAACUGAAAACAUCCCUAUUUCACAGAUUUUGCAAGUAUAUGUGAUAAAGAUUCAUGAUUUGGCUGCUCACAUGCUUGCUGGCUAGAAGCUACUUGAAGUGAUAAAGAAUCAUGAUUUGGCACUUACUAAAUUCUUGGGUUUAAACAUUUUUUAUGAUCAACUCUGCUCUAUAACUGUAGGACUUUGAUUCAUUUCUUGAUGGUCUAAAAAUGGAUACAUGACCCAUUGGAAUCAAGAAGGCGCUAAGUUUAAUUCUCAUGAUUCCUCUAUCUCUUCUCAAGGGGAGCCUUUGGCUAGGAGUUCAGGGACCAGACGAUGGGUACACAAAAAAUGAUGAGCAACAAGGCUUGGAUGAGGAUGCUAGUGUGGAGUGUGCUGCAAAAACUAGACCGAAUAAGCACACCAAUGAAGAUGACAAGAAAGUAUUAUCAACUUCAUAUUUUGAAUUGAUAAGCAACUUGAUGAAGCAGCAGGUCAGUCCCAGGGUGGGGUGGGCACAUGAUAGCGAAUAUGAUGAUGAAGGUGAAUGGGUCUUGGUAAACAUCCCAUGAUCGAUGCUGCUUCUGGGACUGCGGUGCUGUCUGGCACAAGUUUGGCAGCAAAGCAACUCUACCUGCUCUGGCAUGGCGCGCACUCUGAUGUCUCCCGUCCUGCCUCCCCGGUGGUCGUUUCCUCUUCAAUUCUAGCAUAGAUGAGCAACUUGGCCAAGAACCAAGCCAACCCCAAGGUGUGGUGGGCCCCAUUAUAGUGAAGAUGAUGGCUUAGGUGAAUGGGUCUCGGUGAACAUCACAUGAUCGAUGUUGCUUCUAGGACCAUGGCUGCAUCUGGCACAAGUUUGGCCGGCAAAGUAGCUCUGCCUCCUUUGGCGCACACACUGACGCCUCUCGGCCUACCCCUCUGGUGGCUGCUUCCUCUUUGGUUCCGGAUAGGUAAGUCUUUUCUAGAUUAAAACCUUUCUGAUGGGCUGAGUUUCCUGUCAUAUGCUAUGCAUCUUCCGGAUGGAUCCUGUAAAUUCUGGGAGAUCAUGCUGCCUACCUACCAUAAAUGCCACUACUUUGUACCCUUCUUUGGUCUCCAUGUCCUAUGGUUGGCAUGUUUUUGGUGCCACAAGGUCGGUUGAGCAUAUGUGCAAACUUGUAAUGUCCUGGAGCUUUUCUUAGUGCUUGCUUCAGGUUUGGAUUUUGGUACAGUGGUAGUUCUGAAUUGGCCAUCUA